rnacentral:rRNA from 1 species
UGGGGAAUCUUGCGCAAUGGCCGAAAGGCUGACGCAGCGACGCCGCGUGUGGGAGGACGCCUUUCGGGGUGUAAACCACUGUUGCCCGGGACGAACACGGCUAUUCGUAGCCGCUGACGGUACCGGGUGAGGAAGCACCGGCUAACUCCGUGCCAGCAGCCGCGGUAAUACGGAGGGUGCGAGCGUUGUCCGGAAUCAUUGGGCGUAAAGGGCGCGUAGGUGGCCCGGUCAGCGUGCGGUGAAAGCUCGGGGCUCAACCCCGAGUCGGCCGUGCGAACUGCUGGGCUCGGAGCACUGUAGAGGCAGGCGGAAUUCCGGGUGUAGCGGUGGAAUGCGUAGAGAUCCGGAAGAACACCGGUGGCGAAGGCGGCCUGCUGGGCAGUAGCUGACACUGAGGCGCGACAGCGUGGGGGAGCAAACAGGAUUAGAUACC